UACGUAGGUGGCAAGCGUUGUCCGGAUUUACUGGGCGUAAAGAGCGCGCAGGCGGUCGUUCAAGUCGCGUGUGAAAGCCCCCGGCUCAACUGGGGAGGGUCACGCGAUACUGAUCGACUCGAAGGCAGGAGAGGGUAGUGGAAUUCCCGGUGUAGUGGUGAAAUGCGUAGAUAUCGGGAGGAACACCAGUGGCGAAGGCGACUUCCUGGCCUGUUCUUGACGCUGAGGCGCGAAAGCUAGGGGAGCAAACGGG
rnacentral:rRNA from 1 species